UGUCAGAUGGAAGUAUAGCUGCAUCUUCUGUUUCGAAUGAAAAUGAUUCCUUAUCAUUCGAACAUUACCAAAAUUAUCGCUCCCAACACCCGGGACCUCUCUCAGAGAGGUCCUUCAAUAAAUGGAAACGUAAUAGCA
rnacentral:lncRNA from 1 species